rnacentral:rRNA from 1 species
AUGCUUCAGGCUAGUAUGAUUUCCCCAUGUGAUUAUUUGCCCAUUUAUUAUGAGUAUGAUGAUUCUCUUGUGGAGUCUAUUAGUUGUGAUGCCAUGUUACAUAGGAUUUCUUGUGACAAUUCUUUAGGUCACAUCAUGUUUGAUAAUCUGCUUGACUUGUCAUAUGCUAUGCAUGAGAUCCACCAUAUGUCUUAUUUGCAAUCUCUUCAUAGUGACUAUGCAUAUGUCAUUAAAAUAAACCCAAUUUGCACUUACGGCAUAGAUGACAAGCCCAUGGUUAUUGGCAUUUGUUUUUCUUGUGAUGAUAUUGAUAUGCUCAAUUUGCAUCAUUCAUCUCAUAUGCUAUGCCAUGACCACCUAGCUUCGGAUAUGCAUUGUUUUGGAUGUUGUCCAUUUUCUCCAUAUGAUGUUUCCAAUGUUGUUCAUGAGGAGACCCCCAUAGUUUCCUCAUACAUGUUAGGAGAUUUUGAUCCAUCCCUUCCAUUGCAUGAUCCCCAUAAUUGUGUGCACCAUAUGCUCCCCAUGAUUAAACAUGAUAUUGAUGUGUCAUAUACUUGCAUUCUCAAUUUGUGUCUCCAUCGUGUCAUACAUAAUAACUAUUCUUUCAUGAUGGAUGACAUGUUCUUAUACCAUGCAUCAAAUUUCUUUGAACUAUGCUUAUCUUGUGCUAACUCACAUGUGCACAUACACAUCAUGAUGGAUGACGUGUACAUUUACCAUGCGCACAAUUUCUUUGGUUUGUGUCCUUUUUGUGUAGGUACCCAUGAAUACUUGUCAACCUCGCAAUCCCACGAGUUGACAAAACGAGCUCUAGAGAGCAACGUUGAUUUGGGAUCCCAUGGAUUGUCUUUCCCACCGCUCUCUUCGCGCAAAGACUUCGUGCAUUUCUUCUACAUGGCCCUCACUUGGCUAUGGGUUAUUGUCCAUUAUAUAUCAUUUGCCCAUCUUGCCAUGUUCACUUUGCAUGAUAUGCUAUUUACUAUGCCUUUGCCAUGCAUUUGUGACCCAUGCUUUGCAUUACACAUGAUGAUUGAUUCUAGUACUUGUAUGUGUAUUUGCAAGCUUGGUGGAGAUAGUGCUUGUUAUUGCCAUGUUCCUUUUGUGCACCAUUCCUAUGAUGUUACUUUCAUCUUGCUUUGUGUCCGUUCUUGCGAUAUGUCAUGUGCAUUCCCUAUGCCUAUUAUUUGCUCACAUGACAUGAUUGCCAUGAUUUCUUCUAGUGUGUUGCAUCUUCGCUCCACUAGUUUGCACAACUUGAUUACUAUGCUUGCUUAUGUUGCAUCACCAAUGAUUCAUACUUGCUCAUUUCAUGCGGUUGAUGACAACCAUAUAUAUGCUUUGCACGUGAAUCCUAUUGCUUCUUGUCAUAUAUCUCCAUGUGUUACCACUCUCAUGCUAGAUUUGCCAUGUAUUGAGUGCAACAAUGAUUCUCUUCUUGCUCAUGAGAUUGCCCCCAUAGCAUUCUCGCAUAUAUUUGGAGAUUUUGACAUAACUCUCGUGAACCAUGCUUGUCUUACUUCUUUGCACCAUAUACCUAGUGCCAUGAAUUUAGCCAUUGUUGCAUCAUAUUAUUCAUGCACUUGUGUUUCUAAUGGUUAUGUGCAAAAGAUGAGAACCAUCAUGAUGGAUUAUGUGUUUAUCUACCAUGCGCAUACGUUCUUUGUUUUGUUUUGUGCAUGUGUAGGAUACUUCGACUUUGUGUCGGCUUCCACUUCACGUGAGUUGACCAUUCGAGCUCUUGAGAGCGAGCCUCUUACACUCUACCAUGACUCGCUUCUACACCACAUUUCCUACCACUUCGGCAUUGUGAAGAAUGCACAAGGACACGCCUUCAAGGUGACAUCCUUCUUGAGCUUGGAUAUUGUGGAUCAUACUUCAUGUGUUGCUUGCACCAUUUGCACGCAUGUUCAAGAUAUUGCUUUCACCCAUGAUUGCCACAUACUUCAUGCCAUAUAUACCUUGUGUGUUGCAUCCAAUUCUUGGACUACUUGCUACUAUCAUAUGUUUGGUUUCAACAAUGUCACUUCUUCACAUAUGCCAUGUUCCUUUGCUUGUCACAUGAUUCACUUGAUUGCCUCACACAUGAUGAACAAUUGCUCUUUCUAUUGUGUUGAGUGCCACACUAUAUUCACUACACCCUAUGCACAUUAUGCUUGGAUUGUCUUGCACUUGACCCAUGUGUUUAGACCCUUCAUUUUAUUUGGUGUUGUGAAUGAUUCUUAUGCCUACCAUAGACCUUUCAUUGAGCAAUUUGUGAAUGCUUGCUAUAAACUUGAGGUAGAUGCUUAUUCUCUUGUCACACAUAUUUGCAUCACUACCUCACAUUUGCAUACUUGUCCCCAUGAUAUCUUUGCUUGUGCUCAAUUGAUAUGCUUACAUGCCAUGUCACAAUCCUUUGUCACACCCGAUGCUAUGCUUGAUCACGACACUUGUUUGGUGAAUCACCUCUUGAAUGCUUGGUUUUGCACUAACGCUAACCACAUUUGUUUUUCCAAGUGUUUGUUGUUCUUGCUUCUUUUGAAGGAAUCACUAGACGGUGCGACAUUGGAGAGUGCCCAUUUCGAGUUUCAAGAUGAUGAGUGCUUGGUGACCGACCACUUCGACACGGCACCGCCAUCUCUUUCCCAUGGUGAUUUGGUUUUCGAUCCGAGAUCGGAUCUUUUCCAAGGGGGAGGGGAUGAUGCGGAGCAUCCUACGGUCAUCACCAUGUCAAGAAUCUGUUUGGCAAGUGACACGUGCGACCUCUACUUCUCAUACACAUAA